UUCGAAGGAAGGGUAAUCGUAAUAAUUUUCGGCAUUUGAAGGAGUGUAUAUAUAUAUAUAUUAUAUCUAUACUAUAUAUAAAAAUACGUAUAUUUAAAAAUGGGUCUGUCGACAGACCUAUUUUUCGGCUGAAAAUUAGCGCCCAUUUUCCUCUUUCCGUACAAAAAAAUUUUAAAUAUAAGAAUAAAAAUGAAAACCGUAAUACAUACGUAUGUUCUCUAUAACCGAUUACUUAUAUUUUUCUAUUUUAUUUUAAAAUAUCUUUUUUAGGUAUUAUCUAUUUAAUUUUAAAAGUAAGUUUUCUAUAACAGAUUACGGGUGUGAAAAUCCUAUAAAAGAUAUUUUUCA
rnacentral:lncRNA from 1 species